rnacentral:rRNA from 1 species
UACGUAGGCAGCGAGCGUUGUUCGGAGUUACUGGGCGUAAAGAGUGCGUAGGCGGUUUUCUAAGUUUGGUGUGAAAUCUCCCGGCUUAACUGGGAGGGUGCGCCGAAAACUGGAAGGCUUGAGUAUGGGAGAGGUAAGUGGAAUUUCCGGUGUAGCGGUGAAAUGCGUAGAUAUCGGAAGGAACAUCAGUGGCGAAAGCGACUUCCUGGACCAAUACUGACGCUCAUGUGCGAAAGCGUGGGGAGCAAACAGG